CCUCCGGGCCAGCCGGCGUCCCCGUGCACUGGCUCAGCGUCCCACGGCCCGGCAGCCCCGGAACGGCGCCUUCCCACGCCGGCGCGCCGCCCUCGCUCUCCAACAAGGCCACGGCUGCCCCGGCCCUCCCCGGGGCUUUUGGUUUUUAAACUAGUCCCAUCUAUCACUCCCAACCUGACUAUGGCCCAACACCAACUGUUGCAAGUUCUGCACCACUGCUUCAAUCAACUUCUCAGUCGAAACCGCCCCUCCCGGGAGCGCCGUGGAGGAGCAGAAAUAGGAAUAAAUGCCCGGAUGCCCCUGGAGGCACUGAACCCCGAGGUGUUCAAAGUGUUCAGCUAAGAAGAACCAAACUCCAGAGGAAUCAUACUGCAUUCACCAAACAAACCCAGAUGAAACCCUGCCAGUGAGUGUGUGCAGAGGGAGCUGCCAGCCGUGACCAUCAAAUUCUCAUCAAGUCUUGGGUUUCCACGGUAGCCAGAAAGAUAGAGAGAAGGAUUCUGAGAGAGGCUGAGGUUCUGUAACUCUGCAAUCUGCCGAGACAUCUGUGACUAACAGAGACACCUUCCAGAGACCUACAACAAGAUUGAUGGGCAGACCCUUCUCCUCCUGGCCCAACAUGUACUCCAGAGACCCACUCUGCGUGGCUAUCAGCUACUUCCAUCUCUCAUGGCUCUUCGUAACUUCUCAAAUUCUGCUGCAGCCUCUUUAACACUUCAUAGGCAUUCUAUAACCUAUCUAUAACCCAGUCUAAGAGUGGAGUUACCAGUAUAGAUAUAUUUACUUGUGUUUUGCAAUGUAUGAGUAGAAAGUUAAUAUUAAUUAAGACUGGGAUAAAAGGACCCAAGUUUGUCUUAUGCAGUUCAUGUUAGGACGGCCGUGAACAGGCCUUAUGAAGGCCUAUUAUGGAAAGUAUUUCUCUGACGUGGAUGGAGACCUAACAUUUCAAGCUAACCAAAACGUCCGGGUUUAUAAGGUUGUUUCCCCUUAAGCCAUAUAAAGAAAUAGGAGGCAUAAUUAUCCCUUUGCUGAGAUAAUACACUCUUCUUCCCAGAAUCCUUUCAGUGCAUUACUUACAAGCCGUAAACACAGAGUUUUCUAAAAUCUUCCUGCUUUUCUGAAUUACUCAGAAAAUUGUAACUUUCCCUUUUUUUCCCUUCUAAACCUGCUCUCUCUAGUAAUUUGAGCUUCACACUCUACAGCAGCGGUUCUCAACCUUCCUAAUGCUGAGACCCUUUAAUACAGUUCUUGUGGCGACCCCCAGCCAUGAAAUUAUUUUCAUUGCCACGUCAUAACUGUAGUUUUACUUUUGUUAUGAACUGUAAUGUAAAUAUCUGUGUUUUCUGAUGGUGUUAGGCGACACCUGGGAAAAGAUCCUUUGAUUCCCCCCCAACCCCAAUGCCCCUCCCAGGUGAGAACUCAUGCUCAAAAGCUUCCCUCCCUGCCAUGUGGCUGCUGGUCCACUUUGUGACUGAGUUCCAAGACUAACUUGAAUGGUAUGGCUUUUGGCUUUCUCCUUCUUUCUUCUGGGCAUCUGCCAGGACUCACGGCUAGC